GGUUGUAUCUCAACAAUGUUCUAAAUCCUAUUUGUUUUAUUUUCUAUGAACAAAGGCUCAGCUUAGUUCAGGUGGUUAUAGUAAAUGUUGGAUGUCUUGAUAAAAUGUGUUAGUGUUAAUAUUUGUAUGAAAAUAGCAUUUAACAGUUCGCUAGCUUGAUGCUUUGCAAAGUUAGAUCUCUUUUCACACAACAGCAGCAUCCAGGCCUCCAGAGUACUCACCCUAUCACCUUCUGUAGGGACGGGAGCCGCAGCUGUUUACUGAGGUGAGCCUGAACAUGGACAAGGUUCAGGAGAAACAUAAGGAAAACCACCAGAGGAGAAUCAAGAAGGGGACCAAGUGCUUCGACAUCCGGUCAAAUUACUUGGCUUGGAAGAAGGAUGAAAGGAAGUCGAGACCUUGCUGCUCUUUCGCUCCUAGCUGGGGCCACGAUCCGUUCAGGGACCAUCCCUCACCUCCCUCAUCAACCCCACUGACAUAAAAAAAAUACAGACAGGACCUAGGGGUACUGCCUAACACCCAGAUGUGGAUCUACCUGAUGUCCUCCAUUACCAACCACCCUCCAACUUUUCAUUACAUCAUCUACAGCUACUGUUACUGUCAUGUUGUCAUUAUCUGCUAAGAAAGAGCAAGAAAACUAUCAUACUGGGAACAUAAUGUGAGAUACAAUGAUUAUCUAAAAACACUAGCACUCAGAACAAAGAGAGCAGCAGUGCAUGGACUUCAGUCUCCCUCUUCCAGUCCCCCUUCCGAGACUGACUGUUUGUUGAGAACAGUGACAGACAGAACCUCCCAACCACAUAGCACCCACCUCCUCUCUAUUCCACACACCAGAAUUCAGUAUUUCAGUCUAUGAUUGCCAUGUGAGGACAAAAAAAGCUAAGUUUUAAAUAUAUAAUCGUAAAUAUUGCCAGGUUGGUUUUCAUAGCUUGUUCAUUGUUGAAAAUAUUAAUGUAUCCCUUGAUGAUAUUUGUUAGGUCAACAUUAUUCAUUGUUGU